AUGACAAGACGAGUCUUGCCACACUCAUCAGGUGAAUUUAAAUAACGCGUUAAUAAUUUUAAUAGCGCGUUAUUUAAAUUCACCUGAUGAGUGUGGCAAGACUCGUCUUGUCAU